rnacentral:rRNA from 1 species
UACGGGAGGCAGCAGUGGGGAAUAUUGCACAAUGGGCGCAAGCCUGAUGCAGCCAUGCCGCGUGUAUGAAAAAGGCCUUCGGGUUGUAAAGUACUUUCAGUCGUGAGGAAGGUGUUAAGGUUAAUAACCUUAGCAAUUGACGUUAGCGACAGAAGAAGCACCGGCUAACUCCGUGCCAGCAGCCGCGGUAAUACGGAGGGUGCGAGCGUUAAUCGGAAUUACUGGGCGUAAAGGGCACGCAGGCGGUUAAUUAAGUUGGAUGUGAAAUCCCCGGGCUUAACCUGGGAAUGGCAUUCAAGACUGGUUAGCUAGAGUCUUGUAGAGGGGGUUAGAAUUCCAUGUGUAGCGGUGAAAUGCGUAGAGAUGUGGAGGAAUACCGGUGGCGAAGGCGGCCCCUGGACAAAGACUGACGCUCAUGUGCGAAAGCGUGGGGAGCAAACAGGGAUUUAGAUACC